AUUGAACGCUGGCGGCAGGCUAACACAUGCAAGUCGAAAGAGUGGCGGACGGGUUAGUAAUGUCUGGGAAACUGCCCGAUGGAGGGGGAUAACUAACGGAAACGGUAGCUAAUACCGCAUACCCUUGGAUUUUCCCAGAUGGGAUUAGGCAGUUGGUGGGGUAACGGCUCACCUAGGCGACGAUCCCUAGCUGGUCUGAGAGGAUGACCAGCCACACUGGAACUGAGACACGGUCCAGACUCCUACGGGAGGCAGCAGUGGGGAAUAUUGCACAAUGGGCGCAAGCCUGAUGCAGCCAUGCCGCGUGUAUGAAGAAGGCCUUCGGGUUGUAAAGUACUUUCAGCGAGGAGGCGUUACUCGCAGAAGAAGCACCGGCUAACUCCGUGCCAGCAGCCGCGGUAAUUC
rnacentral:rRNA from 1 species